rnacentral:rRNA from 1 species
UACGGAAGGUCCGGGCGUUAUCCGGAUUUAUUGGGUUUAAAGGGAGCGUAGGCCGGCUUUUAAGUCAGCUGUGAAAGUCCGCGGCUCAACCGUGGAAUUGCAGUUGAAACUGGAGGCCUUGAGUGCACACAGGGAUGCCGGAAUUCCUAGUGUAGCGGUGAAAUGCGUAGAGAUUAGGAAGAACACCAGUGGCGAAGGCGACUUACUGGACUGUAACUGACGCUGAGGCAUGAGAGCAUGGGGAGCAAACAGG